GAUGAACGCUGGCGGCGUGCCUAAUACAUGCAAGUCGAGCGAAUGGAUUAAGAGCUUGCUCUUAUGAAGUUAGCGGCGGACGGGUGAGUAACACGUGGGUAACCUGCCCAUAAGACUGGGAUAACUCCGGGAAACCGGGGCUAAUACCGGAUAACAUUUUGAACCGCAUGGUUCGAAAUUGAAAGGCGGCUUCGGCUGUCACUUAUGGAUGGACCCGCGUCGCAUUAGCUAGUUGGUGAGGUAACGGCUCACCAAGGGAACGAAGCGUAGCCGACCGGAGAGGGUGAUGGGCCACACUGGGACGGAGACCCGGCACAGACUCCUACGGGAGGCACCAGUAGGGAAUCUUGCGCAAUGGACGAAAGUCUGACGGAGAGACGCCGCGUGAGUGAUGAAGGCUUUCGGGUCGUAAAACUCUGUUGUUAGGGAAGAACAAGUGCUAGGUGAAUAAGCUGGCACCUUGACGGUACCUAACCAGAAAGCCACGGCUAACUACGUGCCAGCCGCCGCAGUAA
rnacentral:rRNA from 1 species